GACGAACGCUGGCGGCGUGCCUAAUACAUGCAAGUCGAGCGAAUGACGAGAAGCUUGCUUCUCUGAUUUAGCGGCGGACGGGUGAGUAACACGUGGGCAACCUGCCCUACAGAUUGGGAUAACUCAGGGAAGCCUGGGCUAAUACCGGAUAAUCCUUCGAAUCACAUGUUUUGAAGUUGAAAGGCGCUUCGGCGUCACUGUAGGAUGGGCCCGCGGUGCAUUAGCUAGUUGGUGGGGUAACGGCCUACCAAGGCAACGAUGCAUAGCCGACCCGAGAGGGUGAUCGGCCACAUUGGGACUGAGACACGGCCCAAACUCCUACGGGAGGCAGCAGUAGGGAAUCUUCCACAAUGGACGAAAGUCUGAUGGAGCAACGCCGCGUGAGUGAUGAAGGUUUUCGGAUCGUAAAACUCUGUUGUAAGGGAAGAACAAGUACGUUAGGAAAUGAACGUACCUUGACGGUACCUUAUUAGAAAGCCACGGCUAACUACGUGCCAGCCGCCGCCGUAA
rnacentral:rRNA from 1 species